AGUGAACGCUGGCGGUAGGCCUAACACAUGCAAGUCGAACGGCAGCACAGGAGAGCUUGCUCUCUGGGUGGCGAGUGGCGGACGGGUGAGGAAUACAUCGGAAUCUACUCUGUCGUGGGGGAUAACGUAGGGAAACUUACGCUAAUACCGCAUACGACCUACGGGUGAAAGCAGGGGAUCUUCGGACCUUGCGCGAUUGAAUGAGCCGAUGUCGGAUUAGCGAGUUGGCGGGGUAAAGGCCCACCAAGGCGACGAUCCGUAGCUAGUCUGAGGGGAUGAUCGGCAACACUGGAACUGAGACACGGUCCAGACUCCUACGGGAGGCAGCAGUGGGGAAUAUUGGACAAUGGGCGAAAGCCUGAUCCAGCCAUACCGCGUGGGUGAAGAAGGCCUUCGGGUUGUAAAGCCCUUUUGUUGGGAAAGAAAUCCAGCUGGCUAAUACCCGGUUGGGAUGACGGUACCCAAAGAAUAAGCACCGGCUAACUUCGUGCCAGCAGCCGCCGUAA
rnacentral:rRNA from 1 species